rnacentral:lncRNA from 1 species
AUGUGCAUAACAAAGCAUCAUUAUUUUCAUUAUCUUCAAAGGAAUUCUGUAGAAGCAGCCUUUAUUUUCAGACUCUGCAGGCCUGCUGGGAGGAAACAUAUUACAAUAAACAGGGUGUGGAAGGAAACCCUGGAGGAGGGAAACAACCUCGCUCGGCUGGCCUGGGAAGUAAACACUUGCCUAAAAAUGAUGGACAUAGAGCACGAGUGGCUCCGCCACUCCAUGCACCCCACCUCGCCUGCUGACAUCGAUCCUAAGGUCCACAGCAUCGUGGAAAGUGCUGUGAGAAGCAUUCUGGGCAAGCAGUCCAAUGAGCCCCGUAGCAACCUGCCCAGCCCAUCUCAGGUGGUGGUGGAGGUGGUUCCCAGGCUCCUCCUGGCCCUGUGGCUGCAGCCAGAAGAAGGACAUUCAGAGCUCCCAAUCCUAAUAAGCGGGAUGGCCGUGGGCAUGUUGGCGGCCGUAGUGGAGAAGCUCUCCUGCAUGUUAAAGGACCCUUCCCCUCACAUCCUUUUCUCCCGGGCUGCUGCUUUUGACUCUGUGUGGUCGAUCCUCGGGAGAAUCAGUCAGUCCUUCUCCACCGAUGACCUCCAGAGCCCUUUUUAUAUGAGCUCUGUCUGUGCCUUUGUGGCGGACGAGGUGCAGAGCUGCUUCCAGCCCCCUGCAGCCACCCUACCAGUCCCCCCGUCCUCGCGGUGGCCGUUUCCACCACACUACCAGCUGGCAUCCAAGCAGACCCGGCAUCUUCCCACCUGGAGGUUGUGGACAUCACCCCUAACACAGAGGCAGAUCCAGCUUCUUUCCACCUGA